rnacentral:rRNA from 1 species
UACGUAGGGGGCAAGCGUUGUCCGGAUUUAUUGGGCGUAAAGAGCGUGUAGGCGGCCAUGUAGGUCCGUUGUGAAAACUCGAGGCUCAACCUCGAGACGCCGAUGGAAACCAUGUGGCUAGAGUCCGGAAGAGGAGAGUGGAAUUCCUGGUGUAGCGGUGAAAUGCGCAGAUAUCAGGAGGAACACCAAUAGCGAAGGCAGCUCGCUGGGACGGUACUGACGCUGAGACGCGAAAGCGUGGGGAGCAAACAGG